rnacentral:rRNA from 1 species
UUAGAGUUUGAUCAUGGCUCAGGAUGAACGCUAGCGGUGUGCCUAAUGCAUGCAAGUCGAACGAGAUCCUUUGGAUUCGUCUGAAGGUGAGAGUGGCGGACGGGUGAGUAUCGCGUUGGUGACCUGCCCCAGAGAGGGGAACAACCAUUGGAAACGAUGGCUAAUACCCCGGAUGUCAUUGUGUUUAGAAAACAAUGACUAAAGCUCCGGCGCUCUGGGAGGGGCCUGCGUCCCAUCAGCUUGUUGGUAAGGUAAUGGCUUACCAAGGCAAAGACGGGUAGGGGACGUGAGAGCGUGACCCCACACUGGUACUGAGACACGGACCAGACUCCUACGGGAGGCAGCAGUGAGGAAUAUUGGGCAAUGGAGUCAACUCUGACCCAGCCAUGCCGCGUGCAGGAAGACUGCCCUAUGGGUUGUAAACUGCUUUUAUACAGGAAGAAACACUCCCUCGUGAGGGAGCUUGACGGUACUGUAAGAAUAAGGAUCGGCUAACUCCGUGCCAGCAGCCGCGGUAAUACGGAGGAUCCAAGCGUUAUCCGGAAUCAUUGGGUUUAAAGGGUCCGUAGGUGGAUAAUUUAGUCAGAGGUGAAAUCCUGCAGCUUAACUGUAGAAUUGCCUUUGAUACUGGUUAUCUUGAGUUAUCAUGAAGUAGUUAGAAUAUGUAGUGUAGCGGUGAAAUGCAUUGAUAUUACAUAGAAUACCAAUUGCGAAGGCAGAUCACUAAUAAUGUACUGACACUGAUGGACGAAAGCGUGGGUAGCGAACAGGAUUAGAUACCCUGGUAGUCCACGCCGUAAACGAUGGUCACUAGCUGUUUGAACUUUAAGUUUGAGUGGCUAAGCGAAAGUGAUAAGUGACCCACCUGGGGAGUACGUUCGCAAGAAUGAAACUCAAAGGAAUUGACGGGGGCCCGCACAAGCGGUGGAGCAUGUGGUUUAAUUCGAUGAUACGCGAGGAACCUUACCAGGGCUUAAAUGUAGUGGGACAGGGGUGGAAACACUCUUUUCUUCGGACUCAUUACAAGGUGCUGCAUGGUUGUCGUCAGCUCGUGCCGUGAGGUGUCAGGUUAAGUCCUAUAACGAGCGCAACCCCUGUUGUUAGUUGCCAUCGAGUAAUGUCGGGAACUCUAACAAGACUGCCGGUGCAAACCGUGAGGAAGGUGGGGAUGACGUCAAAUCAUCACGGCCCUUACGUCCUGGGCUACACACGUGCUACAAUGGCCGGUACAGUGAGCAGCCACCCCGUGAGGGGGAGCGAAUCUAUAAAACCGGUCACAGUUCGGAUCGGAGUCUGCAACUCGACUCCGUGAAGCAGGAAUCGCUAGUAAUCGGAUAUCAGCCAUGAUCCGGUGAAUACGUUCCCGGGCCUUGUACACACCGCCCGUCAAGCCAUGGAAGCUGGGGGUACCUGAAGUCGGUGACCGUAAGGAGCUGCCUAGGGUAAAACUGGUAACUAGGGCUAAGUCGUAACAAGGUAGCCAAUCACUAGU